UACGUAGGGGGCUAGCGUUGUCCGGAAUCAUUGGGCGUAAAGCGCGUGUAGGCGGCCCGGUAAGUCCGCUGUGAAAGUCGGGGGCUCAACCCUCGAAAGCCGGUGGAUACGUGUCGGGCUCGAGUGCGGAAGAGGCGAGUGGAAUCCUGGUGUAGCGGUGAAAUGCGCAGAUAUCAGGAGGAACACCGAUGCGAAGGCAGCU
rnacentral:rRNA from 1 species